rnacentral:rRNA from 1 species
AACGAACGCUGGCGGCAGGCUUAACACAUGCAAGUCGAACGAUGUAGCAAUACAUAGUGGCGCACGGGUGAGUAACGCGUGGGAAUAUACCUUAUAGUGGGGAAUAACUUUGGGAAACUAAAGCUAAUACCGCAUACGCCCGAGAGGGGAAAGAUUUAUCGCUAUAAGAUUAGCCCGCGUGAGAUUAGGUAGUUGGUGGGGUAAUGGCCUACCAAGCCUACGAUCUCUAGCUGGUCUGAGAGGAUGAUCAGCCACACUGGAACUGAGACACGGUCCAGACUCCUACGGGAGCAGCAGUGGGGAAUAUUGGGCAAUGGACGAAAGUCUGACCCAGCCAUGCCGCGUGAAUGAUGAAGGCCUUAGGGUUGUAAAGUUCUUUCGCCGAUGAAGAUAAUGACGGUAGUCGGAGAAGAAGCCCCGGCUAGCUUCGUGCCAGCAGCCGCGGUAAU